GCAGGCUGAAAUUCGCCUGCAUGAAGCCGGAAUUGCUAGUAAUGGCAGGUCAGCAUACUGCCGUGAAUACGUUCCCGGGCCUUGUACACACCGCCCGUCACACCAUGAGAGUUGGGGAUACCCAAAGCCCGUGAGCCAACUUUUAAAGAGGCAGCGGUCUAAGGUAGAAUCAAUGAUUGGGGUGAAGUCGUAACAAGGUACC
rnacentral:rRNA from 1 species